rnacentral:rRNA from 1 species
AUUGAACGCUGGCGGCAUGCCUUACACAUGCAAGUCGAACGGCAGCACGGGAGCAAUCCUGGUGGCGAGUGGCGAACGGGUGAGUAAUAUAUCGGAACGUGCCCAGUCGUGGGGGAUAACGCAGCGAAAGCUGUGCUAAUACCGCAUACGAUCUCUGGAUGAAAGCGGGGGACUCGCAAGGGCCUCGCGCGAUUGGGGCGGCCGAUAUCAGAUUAGGUAGUUGGUGGGGUAAAAGCUCACCAAGCCGACGAUCUGUAGCUGGUCUGAGAGGACGACCAGCCACACUGGAACUGAGACACGGUCCAGACUCCUACGGGAGGCAGCAGUGGGGAAUUUUGGACAAUGGGCGCAAGCCUGAUCCAGCAAUGCCGCGUGCAGGAUGAAGGCCUUCGGGUUGUAAACUGCUUUUGUACGGAACGAAAAAGUCCGGUUAAUACCUGGGCCCAUGACGGUACCGUAAGAAUAAGCACCGGCUAACUACGUGCCAGCA